GUUGCUCUGGCUGAUCUCAAAUGUUUGACCUCAAGGGAUCUUUCUGCCACAGCCUCCUUAAGUGCUAGGAUUAUAUGCAUGAUACACCAUGCCUAUUGUAGAGUAUUACAUUAUUUUCAAAGUCUUAUUGUAAGAGCCAUUUAUUGCCUUUGGCCUAAAUAACUCAAUAUAAUAUCUCUGAAACUUUUUUUUGACAAAUUUUGGGGCAUGAUGAUGAGAGAAGGGGGUUUGAAACUUUCUAAUAAGAGUUAACUUAGAGCCAUUUAAGAAAGGAAAAAACACAAAUUAUCAGAAAAACAAAAGUAAGAUCAAGUGCAAAAGUUCUGUGGCAAAGAUGAUGAGAGUAAAGAAUAUAUGUUUGUGACUCAUGGUGGCUUUUACUUUGUUCUUGCAUUUCUGAGUACGGGUUAACAUUUAAAGAAUCUACAUUAUAGAUAACAUUUUAUUGCAAGUAAAUGUAUUUCAAAAUUUGUUAUUGGUUUUGUAUGAGAUUAUUCUCAGCCUACUUCAUUAUCAAGCUAUAUUAUUUUAUUAAUGUAGUUCGAUGAUCUUACAGCAAAGCUGAAAGCUGUAUCUUCAAAAUAUGUCUAUUUGACUAAAAAGAAGUUAUUCAACAGGAGUUAUUAUCUAUGAAAAAAAUACAACAGGAAUAUAAAAAACUUGAAGAGGAUAAGAAGAUGUUGGAAAAAGUAAUAUUAAAUCUUAAAAAACAUAUGGAAAGUACACAUUGGUGAAGACACAUUGGUGAAGUACAAAAAUAUAAAUUGGAUCUAGAAGAAAGGGCAAUUCAGGCAAUAGAAAAAUUAGUAGAAAUCCCUUUAAAGGUUAGUUUGUAAAAUCAGGUAAGUUUAUUUAUAAUUUGCUUUCAUUUAUUUCACUGCAAAUUAUAUUUUGGAUAUAUAUAUAUAUUGUGCUUCCUCUGCCUGUCUUACAGCAAUUUGCCUUGCAGAGUUCUAGGAAAAAGGUGGCAUGUGUUUUUACUUUCAAAUAUUUAAAUUUCCAUCAUUCUAACAAAAUCAAUUUUUCAGAGUAAUGAUUCUCACUGUGGAGUCAUUUGAUUAUUAAGACCCGUUGGCAUAAGAUUACAUCCUCUGACUAUAAAAAUCCUGGAAGAAAACCUAGGAAAUAUUCGUCUGGACUUUGCACUUGGCAAUGAAUUUAUGGGUAACCACUGAUCCACUUCCAGUCACUAUCCAUGAGUUUUUAUUUCCAAAUACAUGAAAUCAUAUGGUUUUGGCUGUUGCAAGUAAAGCUGCUAUGAAGAUUCAUGUAAAAUCCUCUGAAUGGGCAUAUGCUCUUAGUUUUCAUCUCUAAUAGAAGUGGAAUAGACAGCUAUCAUGUCUGUAAUAUGCAAACACAAAGGCUGACAAAACUGAUUUCUAAAGUGGAAACUCCACUGGAUAACCUUGACUCCAGCCUGGCUUUUGAGAUUAUCUCCUAUGUUUGUGCAAUGAUUGGUCCUGGGGUAGCCACAUGACCCAAGGAGGACCAUGUUUAAACUUCUGAGUUUUCAUCGAGAUUAACAUGCAUUUGUUGAAAGAGAAAGCCCUUUUCUUCUAAUCCCCCAACUGCAAAUGCUUUCAGGGAUCACAUCAUGUUGGCACAUUUGGUUACAGUGUUUCCUAAACUUCGAGGGUAAAAAUUGUUCAAGUAGGUAAAAAUGGAGCAAAUACAGAGAAAAAAGGAGUCCAGAAACAUCAAAUAAAAAAGAAAGGGCCUCCAUAAAAUCAUUUGAACUUAUGAUUAAUUCAUUAGUCAUUAAAACAAGUUUAAUGUACAAAGAGUCAUCCCCCCAACCACCCUUUAUUCCUUCACCAAGUUUAAGUUACAUUUUUUUAACUUGCAAACAAAAGAUUUGUCAUUAACUUAGACAUCAAAACUCCUUGUCUCCAAGAGCAGUCAUUCAACUCUGUCCCUCUCAUUGUUACAAUAAUAUGUUCACUUCAUUCUGCAUACACCUGCUCUUUGCCCUUGUCUCCCUAUUCUAUUCUAUUAAAGUUACAUCCAGACAUUUAUUUCAUUUUGUAUCAAAGAAACUGUAUACAUGUUUUUAAUCUUAGAAAAAUUUCUGAGUAAUUUUUUGUCUCAUAUUUGAUUUUAAGCCACCCAAGAAGCAUUAUUUUUUCAUUUAGUAUUUUAACUUUUCUAACCCAGGACUUUUAUAGUAGAUAUUAUGUCUUUUUCUAAAUGCUCUGCUUCAAUUUACAUUUUAAAUCUAAAUUUUAAAAAGUGUACGUUUUCAAUAUUUGCAUCAUGUAUCUCAGGCCUAAAUAUCCCUUGAUAACCAAUCCUGCCUUUUUUUCUCUGCAUUUUUCACAUAUUUCAAUAGGGAGCUAUAUCGCCUGACACAAUAAAAGUUUUUGCCAAUAUAACAUAACACAUAGGCAAAAUUUUGUUUCCAAGUGAUUGAUGAUGUGGUGCCUUCAGUCUAGUCCCAAUCCCUCAAUGUAAUCAUCAUCCCUAUCUAAUGAAAUAUGAAAUAAAUAUUUCACUUUGUUUCUAAAAUUCAGCAGACAAAUAUAUAGCCUGUCACAUACAGCCUGUAACACCAACAUAUAAAAAUGAAAGCAGUUCCUUCUCCACUCCCACUGCUUCACUUGACUAGCCUUGAAAAAUAAUAACAAUAAUAAAAAAUGAAAGCAAAAUUGUUCCUUUAUUUAUCUUUGCAAUUUAAUGGAUAUACUGUCAGAAAAGCUCUUCUAUAUAUAUGGAGGGCCUCUAUAAAAUAUAGACUCUUAACUAGAAAAGUAGACUUACAUGAUGGUUAAAUUAAAAACACAAUUAUAUAUAGUACCUUCACAAAUGCACCAGUACUUAUUUCAGAAUGCAUGAUGUAAUUGACUAAACCAUUUAGGGCUAGACCUCUGAAAUAAAAGGCAUUCACACUUUGUGAUUCUAAGGGGAAAAUAUUAUUCAAAAUAGAAGCAUGCAGAACCUUUACCUGAUCAUGAUAAAAAAAUUUUCCUACUUGUUGUGAAUAUGCCACAGCUUUUCAAGGUCAGCAAAAAGAGAUUAUCCCACAAUAUAAGCUGAUGGCCAAAAUUAUCUGCCUUACUUUAGUUACCAUAAUAUCUAUUAAGUGUAAAUUUCUUCUGAAAGAAAACAGAUACAUUUUUCUCAGAAAUGUCUUUAGAUGAAGAUCUAGCACAUCUGUUUUUCUAACUUUUGAAAAUUUUGUUUUUAUCGAUAAAUAUAUAUGGGGUACAAUGUGGUACAAUACAUGUAAAUAUUGUGAAGUGGACAAAUUAGGCUAAAUAACAUAUCCUUCACCUCAGAUAUUUAUUACAUUAUGGUGAAACAUUUAAAAUGUACUAUUUUAGCGCUUUUAAGAUAUGCACUAUAUUAUGAGUAACUGCAGUCACUUUGCUGUGUACCAUAUCACCAGAAUGUAUUUCUCCUAACUGAAGCAUUAUCCCAUUGAAUAUUUCCCCUUUUUCCACCCCCGCCACCCGACCUGCUCAGCCUCUGAUAAACCACCAUUCUACUCUUAACUUCUAUGAGUGCACAUUUUUGGAUUUCACAUGUAAGUGGUAUCAUGAGAUAUUUGUCUUUCUGUGUCUGGCUUAUUUUACUUAGUAUAAUGUCCUCUAAAUUCAUCCACGUUUUUGCAAAUGACAGAAUUUCAUUCAUUUAUAAAGAUAAGUAGUAUUUUUGUAUGCAUCCUACAUAUGCUUUUAAUUUUCCACAGCUUUAUUGAGAUAUAAUUCAUACAUUAUGUAAUUCACUCAUUUAAAGUACAAACUUCAAAUUCUUUUAGUAUAUUAACUGGGUGGACAAAUAAUCUUCAUAAGAUAAUUUUAGAACAUUUUAAUGCCCUUAAAAGAGACUUGCACCCAUUAGCAAUCUUUCCCUAUUUUUUCCAGCCUUUUUAAAACCCCUCCUAGUCUAGGUGACCACUCAUCUAAUUUCUGACUAUGAAUUUGCCUAUUCUGGACAUUUCACAUAAACGGAAUCAUAAUAACACAUAGUCAUUUCUUACUCACUUCUUUCGCUUAACAUAUUUUUAAUGUUCAUCCAUUUUGGAGCAUGCAUUAACACUUUUUUCCCUUUUGUUAAGAAAUAAGAUUCUAUUUUAUAGACACACCACAUUUUAUUCAUCCACUCCUCAGUUGAUGAACAUUUCUGUUCUUUUCUACUUUUUGUUGCUAUAAACAU
rnacentral:lncRNA from 1 species